rnacentral:pre_miRNA from 1 species
AAUAAACGAAUUUCUGAGUUUUUAGAUGAAAUUUUUGACUUUUCGUCUUAUUUGAAUUUUUUUUAUUCUUACCACAUGAUAAAACAUGAGUAGUACUUUACGUGCGACUAAUUUUUUUUCAAUUUUUUAAUAAAUUUUUCAAAUAAGACGGAUGGUCAAACGCUCCAACUACAAAACCCAGAAAUCCUCUUUUU